AUGACCUACCUCAAGCAUCUACGAAGGUGCUGUGGUGAAGAUGCACGCCGCCUUUGGGCAUCUGGUAGCUGUCACUUAAAGAUGAGUUUUGACAGGUUGAAAACAGAAGAUCGUAAACUUGCAUACAUGAUAUGUAAUAACUAUGAGAGGUUAAAAGUACAUUUGGAGUCUGCCCUCAGAACAUUCUUAUUGGAAUCUUUCAAAAGUCAGAGUCCUGACACCAUAAAGAAGAGGUUUGCAAGUGAGGAUAAAAUGAAACAAUUCAUUCAAGUCCAAACAAAACUGACAGUUAUGCAGAUGCCUUCAAGCAUAUGUUCAUUGCGUCAGCACUUCAUCAACAAUCCUGCAGGCAGAAUUGCUCAUCUGUUCCAGAACCAGGCCUAUAGCAAAGACGUCCCAACAGCAGUAAAAGAGUCAAGGAUUCUGCUUCACAAGUUAACACAACAUACCAUAGCAGAACACAAAAGAGGUUACUGUUGGGAUGGUCAAUUAAGCCUUGAUGACUGGGAAGUCAUAGAUGUAACUCACAUUUAUCCAAUUGCCAAAUCUGUCCGUUGCACCAGUAGAGCAAUGUCUAACAAGGACCUUACUCAAAUAGCUGACACAGUAGUUCCAAACUUCAUGAUCAAUGGAGUGAUUCCUGUGUUUAUGGAACACUUCACAAAUGCGUUGAAGUCUCAUGGCACACUUGCUGAAGAGGAUUUCCGAUCUUGGUACUAUGCAUACCUCCUGCUACACCCCUUUGUUAUGUCAUCGAUAGGAAGGGCAAAUCUCCUUAGGAAUCUGUAUUGGCUUCUGGUGGACUUGAAUUUUGAGGAAAACCCGUUCUUUGAUACUGUUUUCAAAGUAGCUCCUUCUUCAGACUGGCGAGAUUUUAUCAUGCAGACCCCUGUGAACUACAUUAUCUGGAAGGUUUUCUGGUACAAGCUGAUACCAAAUUUCAACACCCUUCCUUAUUUCAACUUGUUGGGAAGCAUUAUAAAGUACCAUCGCCAUCUUGUUCAUCAUGGUCCUGACCAUGCCAGGGAUGGCAAGGUGACAACAAUGUCGAGCACAGAUGACAGCGAGUUACUUGCUGCAGCGCAUGACCAGGAUUGCCUCGCAGAGUGCAUCAAGAACCUUCUGCAACAGAAGAAAGUGACCAGCGACGUCAGUGUUGUGCUUGACGCUUACGCUGUGACAUGGGAGCUGUGA
rnacentral:rRNA from 1 species